CGAUCCGUAACUGGUCUGAGAGGAUGAUCAGUCACACUGGAACUGAGACACGGGUCCAGACUCCUACGGGAGGCAGCAGUGGGGAAUAUUGGACAAUGGGCGAAAGCCUGAUCCAGCCAUGCCGCGUGUGUGAAGAAGGUCUUCGGAUUGUAAAGCACUUUAAGUUGGGAGGAAGGGCAGUUACCUAAUACGUAAUUGUUUUGACGUUACCGACAGAAUAAGCACCGGCUAACUCUGUGCCAGCAGCCGCGGUAAUACAGAGGGUGCAAGCGUUAAUCGGAAUUACUGGGCGUAAAGCGCGCGUAGGUGGUUUGUUAAGUUGAAUGUGAAAUCCCCGGGCUCAACCUGGGAACUGCAUCCAAAACUGGCAAGCUAGAGUAUGGUAGAGGGUGGUGGAAUUUCCUGUGUAGCGGUGAAAUGCGUAGA
rnacentral:rRNA from 1 species